rnacentral:rRNA from 1 species
GAUGAACGCUGAUAGAAUGCUUAACAAAUGCAAGUGAACUGUGGAGGACGGGUGAGUAACGCGUAAAGAACUUGCCUCACAGUUAGGGACAACAUUUGGAAACGAAUGCUAAUACCUGAUACUGUGAGAGAGCUUUGCGUCCCAUUAGCUAGUUGGAGAGGUAACGGCUCACAAAGGCGAUGAUGGGUAGCCGGCCUGAGAGGGUGAUCGGCCACAAGGGGACUGAUACACGGCCCUUACUCCUACGGGAGGCAGCAGUGGGGAAGAUUGGACAAUGGACCAAAGUCUGAUCCAGCAAUUCUGUUUGCACGAUGAAGUUUUCUGACUGUAAAGUGCUUUCAGUUGGGAAGCGGUACCAACAGAAGAAGUGACGGCUAAAUACGUGCCAGCAGCCGCGGUAAUAC